rnacentral:rRNA from 1 species
UACGGAGGGUGCAAACGUUGCUCGGAAUCAUUGGGCGUAAAGCGCACGUAGGCGGCCUGAUAAGUCGGGUGUGAAAGCCCUGGGCUCAACCCAGGAAGUGCACUCGAAACUGUCAGGCUUGAAUAUGGAAGAGGGUCGCGGAAUUCCCGGUGUAGAGGUGAAAUUCGUAGAUAUUCGCAAGAACACCAGUGGCGAAGGCGGCUCACUGGCCCGAUACUGACGCUGAGGCACGAAAGCGUGGGGAGCAAACAGG